AUGGGCUGGGUGCAGGGAAGUCCUGCCCUCGGAUGUCCUGCCCAGGGCCUCCUGGUGUGUGGCCUGCCUAUGCCUGAUACCAAUGGCGUGUUGGCCUUGACCGACGGUCCCUGGUUCUUCAGUGCUUUUGCGGACAGCAGGGAACACACAUGUCCGCGCGGAAGAGGGGGUCGGAAAGGAAAACCACAUCUCCAAGCACGAGGCACCUCCUUCCAGCAGGAGGCUUAUCCAUCCUACCGUGUGCCACUGCUUCGAAGGGAACCGUUUUCUGACGUGUCACGGCCAGGAGUUGGCAGUUACCCACUUUCAGGAGCAGCGACGGUGUCCCCACCUGCGGGGAUGGUGAGGCACAUCCAAUCCCGGGGCUCUGAUCAGGUGAGCAAGACACAGAAAGCGCUGCUUGCGGGGGGGCUGGUGUGGAGACCGGUUGACAAGCAGGGAUACAAGGGAAUGGCCGAGAGUACUCCCGGGGACAAGAGUGCCUCUGAGGGACUCUGCUGGUGUCUGAGAGAGUCCCGGGAGGGAAGAUUGCACGUGGCACUGGCCAUGAUUUACCCACCCCAAUUAGCUGCAACAACAGCCCAUGCUGUGAAGCAAAUCAAAGGGGGAAAAAAUAGCCUUUCCAGAAUGGUGACAGAUGUCUCAUAGUGCCGCAUUACAGUGAGAAGCACUUGGACCUUAUUCUAGGUGAGAAGUCCAAUGAAACCCAAACGUCCUCUGGACAAGGCUGCUCCGUGAAAUAGAGCUGCCCCUCAGUGAGUCUGGCUGUCUCUCCGGGCCCCUCGCCAAGCCUCAGAAGCACCUUAACUCGAAGCCCUGCUGAUUCAAAGCACCGCCUUCUGUUCUGGGCAAGCCUUGGCCAGGAAAAGUCAG
rnacentral:lncRNA from 1 species